rnacentral:rRNA from 1 species
GACGAACGCUGGCGGCGUGCUUAACACAUGCAAGUCGAACGGAAAGGCCCUGCUUUUGUGGGGUGCUCGAGUGGCGAACGGGUGAGUAACACGUGAGUAACCUGCCCUUGACUUUGGGAUAACUUCAGGAAACUGGGGCUAAUACCGGAUAGGAGCUCCUGCUGCAUGGUGGGGGUUGGAAAGUUUCGGCGGUUGGGGAUGGACUCGCGGCUUAUCAGCUUGUUGGUGGGGUAGUGGCUUACCAAGGCUUUGACGGGUAGCCGGCCUGAGAGGGUGACCGGCCACAUUGGGACUGAGAGACGGCCCAGACUCCUACGGGAGGCAGCAGUGGGGAAUAUUGCACAGUGGGCGGAAGCCGGAUGCAGCGACGCCGCGUGCGGGAUGACGGCCUUCGGGUUGUAAACCGCUUUCGCCUGUGACGAAGCGUGAGUGACGGUAAUGGGUAAAGAAGCACCGGCUAACUACGUG